UCCGGCGACCGGCGCACGGGUGAGUAACACGUAUGCAACCUGCCCUCUUCAGGGGGACAACCUUCCGAAGGGAGGCUAAUCCCGCGUAUAUCGGUUUCGGGCAUCCGAGAUCGAGGAAAGAUUCAUCGGAAGAGGAUGGGCAUGCGGCGCAUUAGCUAGACGGCGGGGUAACGGCCCACCGUGGCGACGAUGCGUAGGGGUUCUGAGAGGAAGGUCCCCCACACUGGUACUGAGACACGGACCAGACUCCUACGGGAGGCAGCAG
rnacentral:rRNA from 1 species